rnacentral:rRNA from 1 species
AUGCAUGUNUAAGUAUAAGCAAAUUAUACGGCGAAACUGCGAAUGGCUCAUUAUAUAAGUUAUCGUUUAUUUGAUAGUGCCCUACUACUUGGACAACUGUGGUAAUUCUAGAGCUAAUACAUGCUGAAAAUCCCGACUUCGGAAGGGAUGAAUUUAUUAGAUUAAAAACCAACGCCCUCUGGGCUCUCUGGUGAUUCAUGAUAACUGUUCGAAUCGCAUGGCCUUGCGCCGGCGAUGGCUCAUUCAAAUUUCUUCCCUAUCAACUUUCGAUGUUUGGGUAGUGGCCAAACAUGGUUGCAACGGGUAACGGAGGGUUAGGGCUCGAUCCCGGAGAAGGAGCCUGAGAGACGGCUACUACAUCCAAGGAAGGCAGCAGGCGCGCAAAUUACCCAAUCCCGAUACGGGGAGGUAGUGACAAUAAAUACUGAUACAGGGCUCUUUUGGGUCUUGUAAUUGGAAUGAGUACAAUUUAAAUCCCUUAACGAGNANNNNNNNNNNNNNNNNNNNNNNNNNNNNNNNNNNNNNNNNUCCAGNUCCAAUAGNGUAUAUUAAAGUUGUUGUGGUUAAAAAGCUCGUAGUUGAACCUUGGGCCUGGCUGGCCGGUCCGCCUCACCGCGUGUACUGGUCCGGCCGGGCCUUUCCCUCUGUGGAACCCCAUGCCCUUCGCUGGGCGUGGCGGGGAAACAGGACUUUUACUUGGAAAAAAUUAGAGUGCUCCAGGCAGGCCUAUGCUCGAAUACAUUAGCAUGGAAUAAUGAAAUAGGACGUGCGGUUCUAUUUUGUUGGUUUCUAGGACCGCCGUAAUGAUUAAUAGGGACAGUCGGGGGCAUCAGUAUUCAAUUGUCAGAGGUGAAAUUCUUGGAUUUAUUGAAGACUAACUACUGCGAAAGCAUUUGCCAAGGAUGUUUUCAUUAAUCAGGAACGAAAGUUAGGGGAUCGAAGACGAUCAGAUACC